rnacentral:misc_RNA from 1 species
GCGUCACGUCAAUGCUACGUGGACAGAAGACCGAGUCAAUACUGCCACGUAUGCGCCAUGUCAGC